UAAAAACCCCGACUUCGGAAGGGGUGUAUUUAUUAGAUACAAAACCAAUGCCCUUCGGGGCUCUUUGGUGAUUCAUGAUAACUAUACGAAUCGCACGGCCUUGCGCCGGCGAUGGUUCAUUCAAAUUUCUUCCCUACCAACUUUCGAUGUUUGGGUAUUGGCCAAACAUGGUUGCAACGGGUAACGGAGGGUUAGGGCUCGACCCCGGAGAAGGAGCCUGAGAAACGGCUACUACAUCCAAGGAAGGCAGCAGGCGCGCAAAUUACCCAAUCCCGACUCGGGGAGGUAGUGACAAUAAAUACUGAUACAGGGCCCUUUCGGGCCUUGUAAUUGGAAUGAGUACAAUUUAAAUCCCUUAACGAGGAACAAUUGGAGGGCAAGUCUGGUGCCAGCAGCCGCGGUAAUUCCAGCUCCAAUAGCGUAUAUUAAAGUUGUUGUGGUUACUAAUCUCGUAAUUGACCUAGGGCCUGACGGGCCGGUCCGUCACCACACGGGCACAGGUCAGGCGAGACCAUCCAAAGAAUAGCAUUGUAAAAGGACUAAAUUGACGGUGAAACGAACAGAUAUUAUAUGUUU
rnacentral:rRNA from 1 species